rnacentral:lncRNA from 1 species
AUGUCACAAUUAGUUUCUAGAUGGGGUUAAUCAGUAUUUGACUCUAUGAACACUAGAGGGACUCUUGUUGUUCUCGUGUGUAGUCAUUUUUGUGCCAGUAAGCCCGCUGCUGCUUUUGAAAAACUGAUAUGAAAAUUGCAAUAUGCAAAGCAAUUCUCUCUGAAAGUAUCUUUUCUGAAUUUUGUAUUUCUCGAUAAAACAUUCAAAUCUACACAUGCUCUCUUCACUUUUACAAGAUAAACUGUUCCCCCUUGGCACAUUGGCACUUGUCAAUCAUAGAGUAAGUGGCGCAACUCCCAAGUGACUGUCUGGUUCGCCUUGUAGAGGAUUGUGGUGCAACACAAAGUUAGGCGUGAUCACGUAAUGAUCUCCCACCAGUCGGUUGGAAGGCGAACAACAACAACAAGGUGAAAACGACUCUACUCGACAAUCUGUCGACGAACUUGUUUGGCAUCAACUGCCUAAACAAGUUGAAUCCUGAGGGACAGACUGUGAGAUUGAACUGGCAAUUAACUGCUGGAUCUUUGAAAGUCUAUCCAGCCCUUGACUAGCUGACAUGGAUUUUUAGAAGGGAUGACCCGUUAUUGAACUACAACAAUUCGACAAUUAAUAAGGAUUCGGUACAUAACCGAAUACAAGCCAAUGGUAAAACCUAAUCGAAUUGAAGAAUCCCAUCAACGAUGCCAUCAAACCUGAGAGAAAAACUUGUCGAACAUCACGUAGUUCCUCUCCUGUAACAAAAUACGGGAAGCAUGUAUCGGGUCAUAAAAUAAUUGACCCCAUGUAGUGGAACAGUUCAGAUGUCAAAGUCUAGCGCAUCCAAAUCAGCACGUGAGCCACAUUGCAUCUGUCAUCUGUCCUCCGACUCUUCCCGGCCGAUAGUCUGUAACUAUAAAAGGCAACUGGAAAUGUUAGAGAAGACAUCAAUUAGCUGACUGAUACUUCCAGAACUAAACUCUUCUUCUACUACUCGUAUAGCAAUGGCUUUCAAACUAGCCCUUCUCUUGGCCGUUGUCGCUUUCGCCAGCGUGUCUGCAACCACCACGACCACCGUCUCGGCCAAUGAUGACAGCGAGGGUGGACUCUCGUUGAGCGCUCACGACCGCAGUGUCAUCCGCAAGACCUGGGACCAGGCCAUAUGGAGAGACGGAGAUGUUCCUCCUCAGAUUCUUUUCCGCUUCAUUAAGGCCCAUUCCAAAUACCAGAAGAUGUUCAGCAAGUUCGCCAGCGACCCCCAAAACGAAUUGUUGACCAACGGAUAGAAAUCACCAAAUUUGGAAAGCCAUCCGCUCACCAUAGAGGUGAAAUGCACGGACGAAGAAAUCAAGGAGAUAUUACAUAAUCUCAACUCUGAAGUCGCUGCUGUCGUCGAUGAACCCACUACCGCCUAUAAGUGGAAGAAUCACUGCGCUGCUAUGCUUCAUCUCAGCUGCUUCUUUUGGUUAGUGGCCACGUCCAUUCCGACUGGCGGAUUACGCCCGUUCUCUCGAUGUGAUGGAAUAUUACAUCAUUAUGCUGAGCACCAUGGGGAUAGGAGAUCUCAUAUAUGCCGUUUAGUUAUAGGGCUGCUCAUCACCGUUUGGAAAUUAGACGUCACGAAAUUGUACGCCAUCUCGCAGAUUAUAUAAUUGCCUGCGCCAUAACAUUAGCCGCGGCCAGGUGAUUAUCCAAGGUUUCUUAUUCAGCGUGACUUUCGGCUGUCAGUGUUUGUUUCUCGCUCUCGUUCCGCGUGCGCUUUUCGGAAGCGAAAAUUUGAAUCGAAUCUUCGGCGUCUCUAUGUUUUUCGGAGGGAUUGCUGGCAUUCUUAUUGGUCCACCGAUCGUAGUCAGGACUUAUUGUGGAUAUCACGCCAGGUCGCUUUUAUUGGUUGACAUUUGUCUUCGCUUCUGUCAUGGAACUUUUAUCGGCGAUCGCCACAAUAGGCGCGCUGUUCUUCACCAAUCGAAAAUGGAGUCUUUCCAAAAAUUGAAUAAUUUCCGGUUUGUUGAAAUUAAGUGAGAUUUAUUUUUUUCGUUAGUUAAUUCGACAUUCUCCACAUGUUAUGGGCAAUUACAGAUUUUUUUCAAAAAUAGAUUCUAGGAAUUUUGCGGUC